rnacentral:lncRNA from 1 species
UUUCACGUCUCGUUUAGGUUUAGUUCCGUUCAUGACAUGGCACAGUUGGUUUGUUAUCUGUGUUGUUCUGUAGAUUGAGUUAGGUGUUAAACUUAGGGAACCAAUUCUUCAGACCCUGAAAGAUGUUAACUUCACGAAAAUGUCACCCGUUCAAGCUGCAUGUAUUUUUAGCUGUUGCUGCUAAAGAAAGAUUGUUGGCUGAAGCAGUCAUAGGCUCAGUCAAAACAUUACCAUUUAUCAUUCCCAUUUUAGAAAUUUUGCUGGCAUGGUCUGCUCCACUUAAAAAACAUAAAAUCGUUUACCCUCCUUCAAAUGAUCAGAAGUGCCCAUACUGUUGAAUGAGAUAUAAAGGUUUUUAUCAACCAUGGAGCCCAUCUUAUUUAACACUAGACCUGGAUGCUUUUCAUGGAUCUUCUUAUUCAGCAGGGUGACGGUGACCAUAUCAACCUACCUGGAGGAUUAAAGUCAUUGUAUGAAGCAGAUGGUUGAAAGGGACCAAAAAUUAGCUGUUUUAAAAACUUUGAUGAAAACUAAAGCUCCCGUCCAAUUCAUGGGUUUCAUGUUCACUUGUGCAGCGGUUGAAUAUUUUUCACUCAUUUUCAAACAGUUUUUUUGCCUUUUUGGUGUUGAGUAUUCACGAAAAACGGAAAAGACUGCCCGCAUCGGUAAUCGGUGAACAACACUAUUAGCCUUACUCCAACGAAAGAGCCUUACGUUCACUUCAUUGAAAAACAUCAACGAAAAGGUGAGGUUAACACAAAUGGCAGCAGCAAAACGAUCGCUCUUCAUUACAUCAUGGACAAGGCCACUAGAGCGUUUGUUUCUAACAUACAAUCUAACGUCAAACACGAAUAUUCUGUUCUAUUUCGAGUCAAAGAUUUAGAUUUCGGUCGUUUGGCCGCGGGUUUCGGUCUCCUUACGCUCCCGAAAAUGCCCGAACUCGAGAAUUGAAUGACGGGAUUUCUUUCAGCCGAUGAAUAUUGAUCUCUACUUUAUCACUUACAAGCUCGAGAAAACAAUUGACAAGAGAAAUUAACCAUCUACUGCGAGACGGGAGUUAACGAGGAAGCCAUUGGCUCAUUACUGUAACCAUUAACUUGAAUCUGAUGUUGAACCUGGCAAACGCGACAAGAAAUGAUGCAGCACACUUCAGUUUCAUUCAAUCCAAGAGGCAAUGAGAAAGCAGUUAUGCCAAAGGCAAAAAAUCUUCAUGCAUCAACAUGACCAGUGAGAGUCAAGUGACAAUGUUGAGUUGGUGCUUCUUCUUCAGGAUGACAUCAAGACAAGACGUGGUAUAACUUAACCUAACCUAACUUUCCAUUUCAGCACUACUUAAUCAAGGAAAUAUUAGUCAUCGUGCCCGUUAAUAUGGUGCCCUUGCCAGUAAUAGUAAAGCAGGGGGGGGGGACAACCGGAACAGUAACAGCGGCGAGAUUCUCAAAAGUGACCAGUUUGACAAUUUGAAAGCAGCUGCUGAAUGGUCCUGGGAUCACGAAUUUAUUCGCCCAUUUGUCGCAGUGUUGUUGGAGCAAUUAUUUGUUUGGCCGUCGGUCAUGUGGGAUCGCUUCGAACUCAAACAUCACCGCAAUGAACCGAGACUAGGACGCUAUUUGGUAGACGCAAGGGACAAAAGAUAUCCUACCGGGAGAUCGAGUCUUUUCUCAGUGUGAUCCUAGUUCGCCCCCAGUCAAUCCCGUUGAACAAAUUGCGUCGCAGAUGGGAACUUCUUUUAGUUAUUCCAUGGAAAUUGGGGGACCAUUGAGUCGCAUUUCCGAAAGCGUCAGCCAGUUGGUGUUGGCACAGCCGAAGCCAAUGUAGCUAAUGGGCACAAGUAACAAUGGUUACAUGGCCGCUGGAGAAAGUCUGAUUGACGGCGGUGUUGCGUCCAUGGCCAGUUUUAGUGAUGAAAAGCUGCCGUAAUUGAAUCCCCCUUUGUUAAGUUUUCACCCGCUCGAGUACAACAGCGUUCAAGGUUGUCACACGUCUUACGAUGAUAGUUGAUCUGGCGUCCCCUUUUCAACAACACCUGACAGGCCAGCAGAUAGCUGUAAUGCAAAUUUGCCAAACUCUUCGUUAUGCUGACUGAAAUUGUCUCUGUUAUCCAUCAGUUCCUUAGUCUACUGUCCAGUACGGAAUACGAAAUCGCAUUACAACUGGUUAUUGGUUUGGAACCGGAAGAAUGUUGUUUUCAAAACUGAAAAAGAUCAUCGAAGUACUCUUCGUCAACAGCAAUUUGUUAUUGCCAACAAACAGUGCAUGAAGAGUUCAUCCCCUAACCGCUAUUUCAUGUUCCGUGACACGCGGGAUGCGAAUUACUUGAAAUCUAAACUCAGGCAAAGGAGCAACCCGGAAGCGGCUCACCUCUGGAAGUUGAAUGUUGAGCGAAGAUGAGUACUCUAUAAAGUUCAAAUGAAUUUUAUUUAAAUCUUAAACGUGUCAUCUAAUUUAAUGUAAAUUCUAGUUUAACAAUCGUCACAGAUAAUGUUGCAGUAGAAUAUUUUAGUUUAUUAUUUGAAUUGAUAUAAUGUUCACGUUUAGCGUUGAUGUUGCUGUCAAAUGUGGCAUGUUGUUGCAGCCUUAGGUGGUGCUGCAAAAACAGUGCAGGACGAAUUCAACUCGUGAUUGCUGUUUCAUGUGCGCCGUCACGCAGGAUGAAUUUUGAUGCUUAAGACUUGGAAACAUGCUGUCCACCACAUCCAGAAGCUGAGUAACAUUUUACAUGUGGAUGUGGAAAGUUCUGAAUGGCAUCUUUUAAGGUCCAUCUUUUAAUACAAGGAGCUUCCACCAACCAGUCUAGGACUUGCAUCUAAUUGUGCAGGUUUCGUGGAGUUCUCAUUUACCUUUGCUGUGAACAUCAUGAACACAUACACUAUUUGAAGGUUCAUGUUUACGGAGCAGUGGUGUUGCUGUCCAAUGUGGUGUGUUGUUGCAGCCUAUGGUGGUGAAAGAUAUCUGCAUCAAGUUGCUGUUCCUUGUGCAUCCAAGGUGCUGGUUUUGUUCUACAGAAGUGACAUCCAAUAUUGUGUUUAAUUGCUAUUUGUGCCUUUGCAGUUUUAUCUUUAUAUAUUGAGAAGGAACAAAAAAAAAUUAUUACGGGGAGGUUUAUGUCAAACAAAUAAUAAACAUGUCCGGGAUGGGGGAAUGAGGAGGAAGUUGGAGUGGGGUAUUUGAUUAUGAUUUACUAAAAGAAGUGAGGUAUAUUUUUAAUGAAUAUGCAAUACUUGGUGAUAAAAUCUGUUGUUAACCUAUACCUUCUCGUCAACCUAUACCUUCCCUACUUCCACUUACACAUCCAUUCCUCAAACCCCAUAAGCAUCAACAUCAAAUCCCACAUCCACUCACAUCCAUUCCUAAAACCCCACAAUCUCCAACAACAAAUUCACACAAUAGUUGUAUAUCUAUAAUCAUGUUUAUAUGUAAAUAAAUAAAAUGCCUUGUAUAUAA